rnacentral:rRNA from 1 species
CCUACGGGAGGCAGCAGUGAGGAAUAUUGGUCAAUGGCCGCAAGGCUGAACCAGCCAAGUAGCGUGCGGGAUGACGGCCCUACGGGUUGUAAACCUCUUUUAUAAGGGAAUAAAGGGCGUUACGUGUGGCGUUUUGCGUGUACCUGAUGAAUAAGCAUCGGCUAACUCCGUGCCAGCAGCCGCGGUAAUACGGAGGAUCCGAGCGUUAUCCGGUUUUAUUGGGUUUAAAGGGUGCGCAGGCGGAAUGUCAAGUGAGCGGUAAAAUGUCGGGGCUCAACCCCGGCGUGCAGUGGAAACUGGCGUUCUUGAGUGAGCGAGAAGCAUGCGGAAUGCGUGGUGUAGCGGUGAAAUGCUUAGAGAUCACGAAGAACCCCGAUUGCGAAGGCAGCUUACUGGAGCGUAACUGACGCUGAUGCUCGAAAGCGUGGGUAUCGAACAGGAUUAGAUACCCUAGUAGUC